rnacentral:rRNA from 1 species
GUGGGGAAUAUUGGACAAUGGGCGCAAGCGUGAUCCAGCAAUACCGCGUGUGUGAAGAAGGCCUGAGGGUUGUAAAGCACUUUCAAUGGGGAGGAAAAAGGCGGGCUUAAUACGCCCGCCCUUGACAUUACCCAUAGAAGAAGCACCGGCUAACUCCGUGCCAGCAGCCGCGGUAAUACGGAGGGUGCGAGCGUUAAUCGGAAUUACUGGGCGUAAAGCGUGCGUAGGCGGCCUUUUAAGUCAGAUGUGAAAGCCCUGGGCUCAACCUGGGAACGGCAUUUGAAACUGGGGGGCUAGAGUUGGGUAGAGGGGAGUGGAAUUCCGGGUGUAGCGGUGAAAUGCGUAGAUAUCCGGAGGAACACCAGUGGCGAAGGCGGCUCCCUGGACCCAAACUGACGCUGAGGUACGAAAGCGUGGGUAGCAAACAGGAUUAGAUACCCUGGUAGUCCACGCCGUAAACGAUGUCGACUAGCCGUUGGCCCCUUACGGGGGUUAGUGGCGCAGCUAACGCAUUAAGUCGACCGC